rnacentral:rRNA from 1 species
GAUGAACGCUAGCGGCAGGCCUAACACAUGCAAGUCGAGGGAGAAGCCCUUCGGGGCGGAAACCGGCGCACGGGUGCGUAACGCGUAUGCAACCUACCUUUCACAGGGGGAUAGCCCGAAGAAAUUUGGAUUAAUACCCCAUAAUAUUAUUGGGUGGCAUCAUCUGAUAAUUAAAAUUACGAUGGUGGAAGAUGGGCAUGCGUCCUAUUAGCUAGUUGGAGUGGUAACGGCACCCCAAGGCUACGAUAGGUAGGGGUCCUGAGAGGGAGAUCCCCCACACUGGUACUGAGACAGGGACCAGACUCCUACGGGAGGCAGCAGUAAGGAAUAUUGGUCAAUGGUCGGAAGACUGAACCAGCCAUGCCGCGUGCAGGAAGAAUGCCUUAUGGGUUGUAAACUGCUUUUAUAUGGGAAGAAUAAGGAGCACGUGUGCUUUGAUGACGUACCAUAUGAUAAGCUCGCA